UACGGAGGGUGCAAGCGUUAUCCGGAAUCAUUGGGUUUAAAGGGUCCGCAGGCGGGCUAAUAAGUCAGUGGUGAAAGCCUACAGCUUAACUGUAGAACUGCCAUUGAUACUGUAAGUCUUGAAUUCGGUCGAAGUGGGCGGAAUGUGUAGUGUAGCGGUGAAAUGCUUAGAUAUGACACAGAACACCGAUAGCGAAGGCAGCUCACUAGGCCUGGAUUGACGCUCAGGGACGAAAGCGUGGGGAUCAAACAGGAUUAGAUACCCUGGUAGUCCACGCCGUAAACUAUGAUUACUCGUUUUCGGCGAUAUACUGUCGGAGACUAAGCGAAAGUGAUAAGUAAUCCACCUGGGGAGUACGAUCGCAAGGUUG
rnacentral:rRNA from 1 species